ACGACGACUGGCCCAAGAAGAUCGAGAUCGAGAUCGACCCGUCAUUUAUACAUUUUUUGAAUUGAAACGUCUGGAU
rnacentral:ribozyme from 1 species